AAGAUUAAGCCAUGCAUGUCUAAGUAUAAACAAAUUCAUACUGUGAAACUGCGAAUGGCUCAUUAAAUCAGUUAUAGUUUAUUUGAUGGUAUCUUGCUACAUGGAUAACUGUGGUAAUUCUAGAGCUAAUACAUGCUUAAAAGCCCCGACUUCUGGAAGGGGUGUAUUUAUUAGAUAAAGAACCAAUGCUUUUCGGAGCUCCUUGGUGAUUCAUAAUAACUUCUCGAAUCGUAU
rnacentral:rRNA from 1 species